rnacentral:rRNA from 1 species
UACGUAGGGGGCGAGCGUUGUCCGGAUUUAUUGGGCGUAAAGAGCGUGUAGGCGGCCAGGUAGGUCUGGUGUGAAAACUCGAGGCUUAACCUCGAGAUGUCAUCGGAAACCAUUUGGCUAGAGUCCGGAAGAGGAGAGUGGAAUUCCUGGUGUAGCGGUGAAAUGCGCAGAUAUCAGGAAGAACACCCGUGGCGAAGGCGGCUCUCUGGGACGGUACUGACGCUGAGACGCGAAAGCGUGGGGAGCGAACAGG